rnacentral:rRNA from 1 species
CUAGCCGUAAACGAUGGACACUAGGUGUUGGAGGCAUCGACCCCUCCAGUGCUGUUCUGCUAACGCGUUAAGUGUCCCGCCUGGGGAGUACGGCCGCAAGGUUGAAACUCAAAGGAAUUGACGGGGGCCCGCACAAGCGGUGGAGCAUGUUGGUUAAUUGGAUGAUACGCCAAGAACCUUACCAGGGCUUGAAAUGGUGGGGACAGCCGGUGAAAGCCGGUCUCCGUAGCAAUACGGUCCCAUCACAGGUGG